CUACACCCACCCUCGUGCUCUGGGUUGCUCAGAAAUUCCAAGAAAUUCCAAGUUUCCUGCUGCCUCACUGGCUGGAACAGAAUGGAAUGUGCACCACUGCUGAUAACAACAGGAGAGGCCCCAAACCACAGAGGCAGGCAGCCCCGGGGUAAAUCCUUGCUCCACCGCUUCACGUGGAAAGAUAUUGUACAAGUUACUUAGCUUUCGUCAUAGGUCGGAUUUCCUGGGAAAGAGAGUCUAGGUCUCUGAGGGUUGUGUGGAGGAGGCUAACUGGGGAGUGAGCUCAGAAACAACGACAACAUGGGGAGGGAUGCUAGACUGGGCAGAGGGAGAAGCCGUACCAUGUUGCAGUUUCAAUGGAGAUGUCCAGCAAUCCCACAGGGAGCUGAGAUGGCCCUUCAGAGUUGUCCCAGCUGAGGACAAAUGGUUAGGCUUUUGUACUUCCAUGUUGGCCAGUCACGGAUGCAGGCUGCCUUCUGAGAAAUGGUCUGGGAUGAAGGCUCUCUUUGACUGAGUCUUGGAGCAGCAGCUAGAGGUCCUGGUAGUAGGCGGAAUGAGUGCCUACAUCCUGAGGUGUAUCUGGGCAGCCCACCGUACCUGUGCCUACAUGUUCAAUAUAUCAGAGAUCAAGGAAGUCUCCUUGGCCCCUCUACCUGAAAUUGCAACCCCUUAAUCUCAUAUCCCCUGUACCCCAUCUCACUUUUAUCCAUCGUAUUUAUCAUGAACUGACAUACAUUUUUUUAAAGAUUUUUUUGAUUGGACCAUUUUUAAAGUCUUUAUGGAAUUUAUUACAAUCUUGCUUCUGUUUUAUGUUUUGGUUUUUUUGGUCACGAGGCAUGUGGGAUCUUAGCUCCCCGACCAGGGAUCAAACCCGAACUCCCUGCAUUGGAAGGUGAAGUCUUAACCACUGGACUGCCAGAAGUUAAUCCCGAAGCAUUUCUGCCCUCCACAUUUAUUGAAAGUCACUUGGAACAUUGGUUCAGAAGUACUCUACGUGGCUCUCAUUCCUGGACCCAGGCUGAAGCAGCAGCAGACACUUGGACAUCCACUUCUCACGGAGAAUACAGGAGUGGGAGAGAUGGAUUAGAAAUACACAAAGCUUGAAACUGACCUCCUAUCGUUUCCCACCUGCAGCCCACUGGCCAAAGAUUCUUGGAAAGUGGAAUUACUCUUCUCAUCAAACAUUCUGUACUACUCUAUGAUCCAAAGAAAUGCCCAGAUUCUUCUAGAAUAGGCCCACUAGUGAUGCCUGGAUUGAAUUAAAGCAGCUGAUUCUCAAGCCAAGUGGCCAGAAUUUGGACAACUCUACUGGCUCAUCCUCUGUGCUGUAUGGAAGAAACCAAGAUAAUGACACUUUCCCAAGGCUGGGACUGGCAGCUAAUGCGCUACCGAACACCCAAGUUGGUUCUCAGGAAAUACCAUUGUACCCAGUGACACGGUCAACUUGCACCAUUACCUCCUCAAGCCCAACCCUAUAUCUGAAUUCUGGGGAGGAGACAGAACUUAAGGCUAAAGUGGGAUCACAGGCAAGUGGGAUCCUUGAGAUUCUUCACAAUUUAAAGUAUGCGGGCCUCUCACUGUUGUGGCCUCUCCCGUUGCAGAGCACAGGCUCUGGACACGCAGGCUCAGCGGCCAUGGCUCACGGCCCAGCCGCUUCGCGGCACGUGGGAUCUUCCCGGACCGGGGCACGAACCCGUGUCCCUUGCAUCGGCAAGCGGACUCUCAACCACUGCACCACCAGGGACGCCCAACAAACAUCUUAUAUAUGACUUCUUCCCCCUGAAAUUAAGAGCAUUUCCUUUGAAAUGAGGAGUUUUCCCAUCAUGGUGAUGAAAUUUUCUUAGAGAAGAAAAAACCUUACAAGAUCUUUAUUCUACACAGAGGUCUUGUGUAGGACUGAAGAUGUAGUUAUUAGAGACUAGGUCUCACUUCUGUAGCCUCCAGGGUAUACUCUGGAAACUGCAAUUUUGUUGUUAUUGUGCUGAUGUUAAUUUAUUUUCCUAUUGUCAUGGAGACUGUCUAGCAAUAAAACUCACCUGUUUCCUCUUCUUCCUGGACACACAGCCUACAUUUCCCAACUUCCCUUGUAUAAGGUGUGGUCAUGUGACUGAACUCUAACCAACAGAGUGUGAUCAGAAGUGAUAUGUCUCACUUCCUGGUCCAGCACAUACGGAUUUCUCAUGGUCCCUUCCAUGCUCUUCCCUGUUGACCAGCCUGGUGCAGACACAGAUGAGCCAUUAACCUGGGGAGCCCCAUGUUGAAGAUGAUGGAGCCAUGAGAUGGAGGAACCUGUUUCCUGGAAUCAGGAAGAGGACCACGGCGGAUCGAUGUCACCCAUUUUGGCUUUUACAUUUGUGAAGUUUUCUACUGUUUGGGACAAUACACAUUUUUGAAAUCUGUUUAUAAUAGCAGAUAAUGAUACUUUAAUUAAUGUUAUCACUUAUUAAUAAAAGGAAGAUCAAAACCUAAAUUUCAAUUAACUCAUGUUUUUGAUGAGUUGAUUUCCAGGGGAUUAAAAUUUUCUUACAAUCACUGCCUAGAGUUGUCUCUCAGAUUGUAGAGUCAGUCAGUGCCCAUGCAGCGGGAGAGACGGAGGUUCAGAAAGGUGGGAUCAAGGGCUUCCAAAGUUCUUAUGGCCUUUCCCAAGCCAUUCCCCAGCCAGAGAACUAAUGCCUGGAAUGGAAAGGAAUGAAUAUCACCUCUGUUUUUGACCUUUAUCUCUGUCAAAAUGUAAACCCUCCAUAUCACGUUAAGCUUUUAUUUAUUAUUUAAACUGUUGUGUACAAGAAGGGUCUAAAGAACAGACAAAACUAAUACUGGCCUCUAGAUAACAUCCAUGAAGUGCAUUGAGAUCCUGGAUAAAAUUCAGUGUCUUGUUCCUGAAUUAAAAAUAAAAAAGUAUUCUGAAAAAAGGACUGCCUUUAAGUAGAGAAUUGUAAGGUGGGAGGCACAAUUCUUCUCCUUCCCAUUGACUGCACACUAUAUUCUCAAGGUGCAUCAGGUGUACGUACAAAUCAUCCCUUUGGCAUUUGGGAGUACAAUUUUGGGGAUUUGAGUCAAUAAUGUAGUCAGCUACCAAUUUCUGUCUUUUAGUGUAGGGGUUUGGUUGGGGUGGGUAGAAGGCAAGGAUCCAGGGAUUUAGGAAAGAGAAAUAGACCUUGCCUUAUUUCUUUGAACACAAGAACUCAGCGGAGCAAUGAAUGACAUCCUAAAUGCACAAUGGAGAUUCUUCUGCAACAGAUUGUUGCUAAAUAGCUCUCUGGGGUUUUUUUUUGUUUUUUUUGUUUGUUUGUUUUGUUCUGUUGUAUCUGGGCUGAUGAGGUGCUCUCUGCCCUGGGUGAGUUACUUCUUUCAUCUUUGUGGAUUGAUUCUCUUGUAGCUCCUAAAACAUUCAUGCCUUUCAUAAAUAUUUUUUGACUGAAGGUUGUAUAUAUUUAACUGGGGCUCAUAAAUAUGCCUUUAAGUUUCUUUUUCUUCAGUGUUCUGAUUCUUCCUGAUAUUUUUGAUUUCCCAUCACCCUUCUGAGCUCCUAAGUUAAAGUAAGUUUGCAUAUAUACUCAUAUAUUUCAUAGAUGUACUUCUUUAUCAGAAGGAACCCUGAGCUGGAGUUAGGAGGCCUUGAUUCAAAUCACUGCUACUAACUACACUUGUGAUGGGUCAGGGUAAUUCCCCAUCUACAUGAUGAGAGUUGCAGAAGUGUGGGAGACUGUGUUCUCCAUGAAAUGCCUGCAUAGUGCCCAAGAAAUGGGGGUCCAUUUUCCAUAGCAUGUGUUCCAGGUACAAUAUGCUAUGAUCAAGGGAUGUAACCUGUCCCUUAUUGCACUUCAUUCCUGAAUCUUUUUCCUCCAUUCUCUUCUCCAUUUUUUUCUCCUUCCUCUUUCUCUUGCUAUCUUGGAGAGAUCACUCAGUGGUGGAGCCAGGAUGAUCGAUAUGCCAGGGCAGCUGAACUGUCAGCUCAUCAGGAAUUGCCCAGAUUGUGGACCAUUCAUUACAUCACUGGACAUCUACUGAGUAUCUAAAAUUUGCCAGGUACUACACUCAGUAGGUGCUUUUUAAACCUAAUUUUUACCGUGCUAUUUUCCUUAUCAUACAAAAAACACAGGUAUAUUGAGUCUUUUCUGAAAAUACCAAAAAAGAGAUAAUAAGAAGAAAUCAUUUAUAGCCCCACUUUCUAGAGUUUACCACUAUGAAUCGUUGAAUGUAUGUUUUUUCUACGGUUUUUGCUAUGUAAGAAUACAGUUUUAAAAGGGGAGUUAAUAUGAAAUUACAUUGUACAUCUUGAUUUUUCACAUUAAUUUUUCACAUUAAUAAUCCAUUGACUUCAUUUCACUUCCUCUUUACUUCUGGCUGUUGGAUUGGAAGAGGUGAUCUUUCCUGUGUGUGAUGUAAAUUCACUGCAGGAUGUGCAUAGCAGAAAAACACUACCACUACAAGAGUCCACUCCAAUGGACUAUAAACUCCAAUUUGGCAAAAAGGAGAUGAAGGCAUAGAUGAUGUCCCAAAAGGCCCUUUUACUAUAAAUGAUUUCCUGGAAACACCAUGGUCAAGUCAAAAUCUUUUUGUGAGUGAGAAAAAAAUUACAAGACUGAGCAGAUGCAAGAGUGAAACUCAUCUGUGUCAAUGUGUGUUGGCCCAAGUAGGACACACAUGCAAACAUACUGCCCUUUUACUAACAGAUCAUCGUUUCAGAUGCAAAAUAAACAGCUGAAGGAUUUCUCAAAUGUUCUUCCUCAAUAAGAUAGGAAAUAGCCUGCUCAUACAAAAUACCCUAGUCCAGUCCUAAUCUAGCACACAUUAUUAUUAUUAUUUACAAUUAAUGUGCCAUGUACUGUGAAUUAUUUAUUAUUAUUAUUAUUAUUUUGCGGCACGCGGGCCUCUCACUGCUGUGGCCUCUCCGGUUGCGGAGCACAGGCUCCGGACGCGCAGGCUCAGUGGCCAUGGCCCAUGGGCCCAGCCACUCCGCGGCACGUGGGAUCUUCCUGGACCGGGGCACGAACCCACGUCCCCUGCUUCGGCAGGCGGACUCUCAACCGCUGCGCCACCAGGGAAGCCCACUGUGAAUUAUUUAACCAUGAUUUUACUUAAAAAGUUCUAUACAGCAGAAAGUCAAGUUCAUAAAGAUUAAAGGAUUUACCCCAAAUCAAAUAGCUAGUUAAUAACCGGUCCAGGAGGCAAACUAAAGCUGCCUGACUUUAAAUCUGGAGUUCUGAGACUACCACAUGCUGCUGCCUCUCCCGUGUGAAAAGGACACAAACUAUAUUGAAUGAAUAAAUGAAUCAAAUAUAGUAUGGAUCUUAAUAAAUGUUAACUGACUGGGAACCACAAUCCUCUCACCAAAUUUGAUUCUCCACACCAAAUGAGAUAGUAAAUUACAUGUAAUGAACUUACUGGACAAACUACAUUUCCUAGUGUUUGAGACCAGCUGAGGUCUCCUGGGGACAGCCAUGAGAGUGAGGGGUAAACCGCUGGAGGCAAUGCACUGUCAGCAUUGCCUCUGAGUUAUCAUCACGGCAUCAAGCCAGCGAGCCCUCCUUCCCAAUCAUUGCUGUCCAGCACUCAGCUGAAACCAAGACACCAGGAUUUGGUACAGCACUGCUGCUUGGGGCGUCUUGACUCUGUAUCUCUGGACCCAUUUACUUAACUUAAAAAUGACAAGAUUGGUUCAAAGAUGGCAGAAUAGGGGUUUUCUGAGGUUCUUUGCCUUUUCCUGACUCCCAGUAUAAACAACAAAGAAACAAAGAUUAUCAUACUAAGUGAAGUUAAGUCAAGCAGAGAAAGACAAAUAUCAUAUGAUGUCACUCAUAUGUGGAAUCUAAUUAAAAAAAUGAUACAAAUGAACUUAUUCACAAAACAGAAAGACUGACAGAUAUUGAAAACAAACUUAUAGUUACCACAGGGGAAACAUUGUGGGGAGGGAUAAAUCAGGAGUUUGGGAUUAAUGUAUACACACUAUUAUAUAUAAGAUAGAUAACCAAAAAAGACCUACUGUAUAGCACAGGGAACUCAAUAUUCUGUGAUAACCUGUAUGAGAAAAGCAUCUGAAAAAGAAUGAAUAUAUGUAUAUGUAUAACUGAAUCACUUUGCUGUACACCUGAAACUAACAAACAUUGUAAAUCAA